rnacentral:rRNA from 1 species
GACGUAGGGUGCAAGCGUUUGUCCGGAUUUAUUGGGCGUAAAGAGCUCGUAGGCGGCUCGUCGCGUCGACCGUGAAAACCUACCGCUUAACGGUGGGCUUGCGGUCGAUACGGGCGGGCUAGAGUUCGGUAGGGGAGACUGGAAUUCCUGGUGUAGCGGUGAAAUGCGCAGAUAUCAGGAGGAACACCGGUGGCGAAGGCGGGUCUCUGGGCCGAUAUUGACGCUGAGGAGCGAAAGCGUGGGGGAGCAAAACAG